UGGUGACUUAUUUAGGUGGUGGCGAAUCUAUGGCAUGUGUGCCAGAGAGGGCACACAGGGCCCUCUCUGCUGGCACGCGAGCCCAGGUUCAG